CGAAGGACCCGAGCGUUAUCCGGAUUUAUUGGGUUUAAAGGGUGCGUAGGCGGAUUAGUAAGUCAGUGGUGAAAGCCCAUCGCUCAACGGUGGAACUGCCAUUGAUACUGCUAGUCUUGAGUAUGGUUGAGGUGGGCGGAAUGUGUCAUGUAGCGGUGAAAUGCUUAGAUAUGACACAGAACACCAAUUGCGAAGGCAGCUCGCUAAACCAUAACUGACGCUGAGGCACGAAAGCGUGGGGAGCAAACAGGAUUAGAUACCCUGGUAGUCCACGCCCUAAACGAUGAUAACUCGUUGUUGGCGAUACACAGUCAGCGACUAAGCGAAAGCAUUAAGUUAUCCACCUGGGAAGUACGACCGCAAGGUUG
rnacentral:rRNA from 1 species